rnacentral:rRNA from 1 species
AGCACCUUGAAAAGAGGGUUAAAUAGUACGUGAAAUUGUUGAAAGGGAAGCGCUUGUGACCAGACUUGGGCGCGGCGGAUCAUCCGGGGUUCUCUCCGGUGCACUUCGCCGCGUCUAGGCCAGCAUCAGUUCGUCGCGGGGGAAAAAGGCUUCGGGAACGUGGCUCCUCCGGGAGUGUUAUAGCCCGUUGCAUAAUACCCUGCGGUGGACUGAGGACCGCGCAUCUGCAAGGAUGCUGGCGUAAUGGUCACCAGCGACCCGUCUUGAAACACG